AAUCAACGCUGGCGGCGCGCUUAACACAUGCAAGUCGAGCGAGAAAGGGAGCAAUCCUGAGUAAAGCGGCGUACGGGUGAGUAACACGUGGAUCAUAUACCUUUUAGUGGGGAAUACCCUUGGGAAACCGAGGACAAUACCGCAUAAUCCCGGGAGGGGAAAGCAGCAAUGCGCUGAAAGAGUAGUCCGCGGCUGAUUAGCUAGUUGGUAGGGUAAAGGCCUACCAAGGCUGUGAUCGGUAGCCGGCCUGAGAGGGCACACGGCCACACUGGCACUGAAACACGGGCCAGACUCCUACGGGAGGCAGCAGUGGGGAAUCUUGCACAAUGGACGAAAGUCUGAUGCAGCGACGCCGCGUGAGCGAUGAAGCCCUUCGGGGUGUAAAGCUCUUUCGACAGGAACGAUAAUGACGGUACCUGGAGAAGAAGCUGCGGCUAACUACGUGCCAGCAGCCGCGGUAAUACGUAGGCAGCAAGCGUUGUUCGGAAUUACUGGGCGUAAAGCGUGCGUAGGCGGUGGCUCAAGUUUGGUGUGUAAUCUCCCGGCUCAACUGGGAGGGUGCGCCGAAAACUGAGUUGCUCGAGUGUGGGAGAGGUAGGCGGAAUUCCUGGUGUAGCGGUGAAAUGCGUAGAUAUCAGGAGGAACACCGGCGGUGUAGACGGCUUACUGGACCAUAACUGACGCUGAGGCACGAAAGUGUGGGGAGCAAACAGGAUUAGAUACCCUGGUAGUCCAUACCCUAAACGAUGCAUACUUGGUGUGAGCCAUUCAUUUGGUUCGUGCCGGAGCUAACGCGUUAAGUAUGAC
rnacentral:rRNA from 1 species